rnacentral:rRNA from 1 species
UAGGGAAUCUUCCACAAUGGACGAAAGUCUGAUGGAGCAACGCCGCGUGAGUGAAGAAGGAUUUCGGUUCGUAAAACUCUGUUGUAAGGGAAGAACAAGUACAGUAGUAACUGGCUGUACCUUGACGGUACCUUAUUAGAAAGCCACGGCUAACUACGUGCCAGCAGCCGCGGUAAUACGUAGGUGGCAAGCGUUGUCCGGAAUUAUUGGGCGUAAAGCGCGCGCAGGCGGUCCUUACGUCUGAUGUGAAAGCCCACGGCUCAACCGUGGAGGGUCAGUGGAAACUGGGAGACUUGAGUGCAGAAGAGGAAAGUGGAAUUCCAAGUGUAGCGGUGAAAUGCGUAGAGAUUUGGAGGAACACCAGUGGCGAAGGCGACUUUCUGGUCUGUAACUGACGCUGAGGCGCGAAAGCGUGGGGAGCAAACAGG